CGCAAGUUAUGCAACAAUUAGCGACCGGUUCAUAAGUAAAAUAUUUGUUGAAUUUGAUGGUGAGGGUAAUCGUUAGGUAUUUAAAGUUCCCUUGCUGUUCCCAUUGAUUGCAUAGUCGACAGAAGUUACCAAAACCUUGACAAACAUCAACGAUCGUUUUAAAAACCAACAAAAUAAAUCAAAAUGUUCAAAAUUAUUAUGAUGUUAUCAAUAUUCAUGCUGAUGAUUGGGGUCGUGGUAAAUGAUGAAGACUGUUGGGGUGAUGCGUGUGGUAGCAAACCUUGUUGUGAAGGAUACUAUUGCUAUUUGAGUCAUGACUGGGAGCAAUAUUGUCGCCAAAAAUAAUAAAUCAUUUCAUCUAAAAACUUGCGGAUUUAAAGAAAUUAAUAAUUUUAUUUAAUAAAUUUUUUUCUUGCCGUAAAAUAAUGUAGGACGCAGAAAUAAAUAUAUUAUUGCGCGAUCAAAUAAAAUAACGUUUACUUUUUUUUCAAAAAAUUUCCUAAUUAUUAAUUCCCAUGCAGGAGCUGUCAGAGUUGAACGAAGGGGCCCUUCUUGGCUCAGCACUGGGGAACCUAGCUUUGGCACGUCUAUAUUGGCCCAUUACAUGCAUGGGUCAACAAUAGUUACUCAAUCAUAGCCAUUCCAGUCAUUACCCGAGCCUGGGCCAAGACUAGGUUCCCCUAUCUAGGCCUUACAAUGGCGACCCAGGCUUGGGAUAGGACUGAUGGGUAACCUAGCCUUGGCCGACCCAAUAAUGAUUACCCGAGCUUUUAGGCCAAGACUAGAUUUCCCUGCCUUGAUCAUUCAAUGGCAACCCAGAUUUGGGCCAAAGUAGAAUCAUGCAAGUUCGGCUAUACCUAAAGUUACCCUUCCUUGGGCCAGAAUUAGCUAACCCAACCCGGGAAAAAAAUAUUUUAUAUGAUCAUAUAUAAACAUAUAUGUUCAUAUACAAUUUAUAUAUAAUCAUAUAAGAAAUAUAUAAAAAUUAUAUAUGAUUACAUAAAAGCUUAUAUGAUCUUAUAAAGUUCUAAUACGAAUUAAUAUACUCUCGUGAAGACUUUAUAAAAAUUGAUAUGACUUUAUAAAAAGUUAUAUAUAACUUUAUAAAAGUACUAGAUAAAGUUUUAUAUGCUUAUAUAUAAUUAUAUAAAAGUUCAUAUGAUCUUAUAAAAAUCUUAUAAGAAUUUAUAUAGUUUUAUAAGGUGUAACGGGGUGGAAUGCUCCCACAUUACAAUUCAUAUUUAAUUUCGACUCGCGCCAAAAGAUCCGCCCUCCUUCUUCAACAACUGUCAACAACUGAAGAAAAUACAGUCAUUGAUGCGCCGGGGUCGCUACGGUCGAGUCCCGACUUUUGGUUUUAGGGGUUGGUCAACCUGAGUGGAGAGGUACGAGGGCCAGAGACGACGAGCGAUCGGUCUCUUGGCUCGCAGCAACCGCCGUGGACGGACGUGCCUUUCUAUCAACUACCACUAACAUCUUGGUUUCCACAAGUUUCUAUCUACUACUACUACUACUACACGUGCUGCUAGUCAUCAUUCAAAUUGGGCCAAGAGCAUAUAAGCCCACGGCUCGUGGAAGCUUAUUUCUUUUAUUAAGUUUAUUAAGUUUAUUUAACGGUUAUUUAUAUAAUAAUUAUUGUGGAUUGGAUCUGGUCGAUGGGAAAGGAUUGGAACGGUUUGGUGGACUUGGAAGGAAGGACUGGGUCUGGUUUUGGUCUUGGAGGAAAAGGACAGUUGGAAUAAGAAGGACUGGUUAAGGUUGGAGAUUGUUGGAUGUAUGACUACUAGA